GGGGGUGAUAGGUCUCGACUUGAGAUGUUAUUGUCUAAGUGGCGUGCCGAGGAAGCCUGGUUGGCCUCGUUAAUCAUCCGGGCACAAAACAAAUGCUAACAAUAAAAUGUUAACAUCCAGCGAUGCUGAAUUAGCCUUUGCAACGAGCGAUGCUCCUGCAGGCGGUUCUGCAAAGCUUCAAACAGUCUAAGCUUAUACUAUAAGUUUAGCCCUUUUACAGAUCAUGCCUGUGGUUUUGUAAAAGGUCCUUUACAGGCUAGCGUAAUUUCCGCCGAGGGAAUUAUUGCGAAAGCAUAAGGCUGGUUCCGUUGAAUUUUGUUUGUUGAAGCUGACGGAAUGAGAUUAAAAGACAAACUAUGCAUGUAGAAGCUUAUGCAAAGCGCUUCAAGGACCCGGGUUCGAUUCCCGGCACCUCCAUUC
rnacentral:tmRNA from 1 species